UACGUAGGGUCCGAGCGUUAAUCGGAAUUACUGGGCGUAAAGCGUGCGCAGGCGGUUUUGUAAGCCAGAUGUGAAAGCCCCGGGCUCAACCCAGGAACUGCGUCCGAUACUGGUUGGCUUGAAUCCGGGAGAGGGAUGUGGAAUUCCAGGUGUAGCGGUGAAAUGCGUAGAUAUCUGGAGGAACACCGGUGGCGAAGGCGACAUCCUGGACCGGCAUUGACGCUGAGGCGCGAAAGCCAGGGGAGCAAACGGG
rnacentral:rRNA from 1 species